UGACUACCAGUGUCCAAUAAUGCUCGUGC
rnacentral:sRNA from 1 species